GCAGGACCCAACGCUUCAUCCAUUUACUCGGCUUCCAGCUUCCUAAACAGAUUUUUCUUUUUGUUGUCUGGGGUUUUUGUUUAGUUUUGUUUCGGUAGCAAAUAAGUGGAGCAGCAUUGGGUAGGAAUCACUCUGCAGAGUUUAAUCUCCAUUCCUGGAAAAGCCUCAGGUGUUCUGUGGGACCUGUGAUCCUGCUGGGCAAGAGGCUGAUGCCUCGUCAGAAGAUGGGUGGAUGGGAGAAAAUAGAAAAAUGCUUUUCCCCGGGCAAAGUACGAGGACUGAGGAUCUCUUGGAGGGAUGUUCAGCCUGCAAACUUGUUUUCUCCUCCUCUGAAUGUUGCAGUUAAGAUCACUAAAUCGAUGCCUGUUUGUCUAGGAGAAGAGCAACAGAAACUGAGAACAGAAUGAACAGUCAGUGUGGUAUGAAGACAGAUAAAACUAACUGUAUGAGGAUGAAUAAAAAACAGCAAAUAGAUUUGGA